rnacentral:rRNA from 1 species
AUGGAUAACAACAUUUUGAGUUGGAACAUCAGAGGGUUAAAUAACCCUGCCAGACGGAAAAUUAUGGCAAAUUUUGUUCAGAAUCAUCACUGUAGACUGGUCUGCGUUCAAGAGACCAAACUGAACCUCAUCAACAACCAAGUGAUCUCUGAAUGUCUGGGGAGCCGUUUUGUUGACAACUUUGCAUACCUCCCAGCUGAUGGUACCCGUGGUGGAAUUCUUAUAGCUGCUUCUGCUGAUCACCUGAAGAUAACAAACCUUGCGCAUCUCUCUGGCACGUACUCUUUGACUGUGAAGGUCACAGACCUCUCUUGCAAUUUUGACUGGAUGGUUACUGGGGUCUAUGGGCCACAAGCUGAUAAUGAGAAAUCCAACUUUUUGCUGGAAAUGUGA